rnacentral:rRNA from 1 species
UGGGGAAUUUUCCGCAAUGGGCGAAAGCCUGACGGAGCAAUACCGCGUGAGGGAGGAAGGCCUUUGGGUUGUAAACCUCUUUUCUCAGGGAAGAAGUUCUGACGGUACCUGAGGAAUCAGCAUCGGCUAACUCCGUGCCAGCAGCCGCGGUAAUACGGAGGAUGCAAGCGUUAUCCGGAAUUAUUGGGCGUAAAGCGUCCGCAGGUGGCUAUUCAAGUCUGCUGUCAAAGAGCGAAGCUCAACUUCGCAAAGGCAGUGGAAACUGAAAGGCUAGAGUAUGGUAGGGGUAGAGGGAAUUCCCAGUGUAGCGGUGAAAUGCGUAGAGAUUGGGAAGAACAUCGGUGGCGAAAGCGCUCUACUGGGCCAUAACUGACACUCAGGGACGAAAGCUAAGGUAGCGAAUGGGAUUAGAUACCCCCGUAGUCC